CCUUCGAUAGCUCAGCUGGUAGAGCGGAGGACUGUAGGCCAUCCUUAGAUUGCUAGUUCAAUUCCGGCUCGAAGAA
rfam:Manacus vitellinus contig9537, whole genome shotgun sequence.